UACGAAGGGUGCAAACGUUGCUCGGAAUUAUUGGGCGUAAAGCGCACGUAGGCGGCUUUGCAAGUCGGAUGUGAAAGCCCUCGGCUCAACCAAGGAAGUGCAUCCGAAACUGCAGAGCUUGAGUACUUAAGAGGAUCGCGGAAUUCCUGGUGUAGCGGUGAAAUGCGCAGAUAUCAGGAGGAACACCGGUGGCGAAGGCGGAUCUCUGGGCCUUACCUGACGCUCAGGUGCGAAAGCUAGGGGAGCGAACAGG
rnacentral:rRNA from 1 species